rnacentral:rRNA from 1 species
GGAUGAACGCUGGCGUCGUGCCUAAUACAUGCAAGUCGAGCGAACGGACGAGAAGCUUGCUUCUCUGAUGUUAGCGGCGGACGGGUGAGUAACACGUGGAUAACCUACCUAUAAGACUGGGAUAACUUCGGGAAACCGUAGCUAAUACCGGAUAAUAUUUUGAACCGCAUGGUUCAAAAGUGAAAGACGGUCUUGCUGUCACUUAUAGAUGGAUCCGCGCUGCAUUAGCUAGUUGGUAAGGUAACGGCUUACCAAGGCAACGAUGCAUAGCCGACCUGAGAGGGUGAUCGGCCACACUGGAACUGAGACACGGUCCAGACUCCUACGGGAGGCAGCAGUAGGGAAUCUUCCGCAAUGGGCGAAAGCCUGACGGAGCAACGCCGCGUGAGUGAUGAAGGUCUUCGGAUCGUAAAACUCUGUUAUUAGGGAAGAACAUAUGUGUAAGUAACUGUGCACAUCUUGACGGUACCUAAUCAGAAAGCCACGGCUAACUACGUG